rnacentral:rRNA from 1 species
GAUGAACGCUGGCGGCGUGCCUAAUACAUGCAAGUCGAGCGAACAGACGAGGAGCUUGCUCCUCUGACGUUAGCGGCGGACGGGUGAGUAACACGUGGAUAACCUACCUAUAAGACUGGGAUAACUUCGGGAAACCGGAGCUAAUACCGGAUAAUAUAUUGAACCGCAUGGUUCAAUAGUGAAAGACGGUUUUGCUGUCACUUAUAGAUGGAUCCGCGCCGCAUUAGCUAGUUGGUAAGGUAACGGCCUACCAAGGCAACGAUGCGUAGCCGACCUGAGAGGGGGAUCGGCCACCCUGGAAGUGAGACACGGUCCAGGCUACUACGGGAGGGAGCAGUAGGGAAUCUUCCGCAAUGGGCGAAAGCUUGACGGAGCAACGGCGAGUGAGUGAUGAAGGUCUUCGGAGCGUAAAGCUCUGUUAUUAGGGAAGAACAAAUGUGUAAGUAACUAUGCACGUCUUGACGGUAACUAAUCAGAAAGCCACGGCUAACUACGUG